CAGCAGCCACGGUAAUACGUAGGGCGCAAGCGUUAUCCGGAAUUAUUGGGCGUAAAGAGCUCGUAGGCGGUUUGUCGCGUCUGCCGUGAAAGUCCGGGGCUCAACCCCGGAUCUGCGGUGGGUACGGGCAGACUAGAGUGAUGUAGGGGAGACUGGAAUUCCUGGUGUAGCGGUGAAAUGCGCAGAUAUCAGGAGGAACACCGAUGGCGAAGGCAGGUCUCUGGGCAUUAACUGACGCUGAGGAGCGAAAGCAUGGGGAGCGAACAGGAUCAGAUACCCCCGUAGUCCCUGUCUCUUAUAC
rnacentral:rRNA from 1 species